GCAUAGAAGAAAAUUUGUUUCAGGAGAUAACGAGGACUCAAAACAAACAAAUGAAGAAAUGGGGAACAAUGGCUAACGGCAGUGCUGAAGGUGACAACGCUUUGCCCAUGCACAGACCUUCUUUGUUCGAUUUUUUUUCGCUUUGGUUUUUUUUAUUGCUUUGUCGGAAAAAAGGUGUGACCUUUUGCAACAAUAUGAUUCACAUGGCUAACGACAGUGCUGAAGGUGACGGGGCUUUGCCCAUGCAAGGGACUUCUUUGUUCGAUUUUUUUUCGCUUUGGUUUUUAUAUUGCUUGGAACGGAAAAAAAGGCUAACGGCGGUGCUGAAUGUGACGGCGCUUUGCCCAUGCAAGGGCAUCUUUUGUUCGAUUUUUUUCGCUUUGCUUUUUAUAUUGCUUUGGACGGGAAAAAAGUGUGACCUUUGUCUGAUUCCGAUGAGGUUCCAUUUUUAUUUAUUUUUCCCCUUUUUUUGACUCAUUUUUUGUGGUGACUUUUGGGAUAGGCUAACGACGGUGCUGAAGGUGACGGCGCUUUGCCCAUGCAAUGACCUUCUUUGUUUGAUUUUUUUUCACUUUGGUUUUUAUAUCACUUUGGACGGAAAAAAGGCGUGACCUUUGUCUGAUUUCGAUGUUGUGGACUUCUGUUGUUGUGCUGAAUACUAAAGAGGAUGAUGAAGCUGCAACUGAGGAGGUGAAAAAGAGUUAUCAUGUUCUGAGAAAAAUAGAGUGAUGAUGACCCCAUUUUGAUUGAUGGAGAAAUUUUUAUGUUACUUUGGUUUAACAGUUUAAAGUUGUAAUUUAACCAUUAUGGUUUUCAGGCAAUGCAUUUUAUUGUUUACAAUUUGCUGAAAAACGUAAAUU